CACCAGGUCAGGACACGGUAAGGAUUGACGGACUGAAAGCUCUUUCUCGAUUCCGUGGAAAGUGGUGCAUGGCCGUUUUUGGUUGGUGGAUCGAUCCGUCUGGUUAAUUCCGUUAACGAACGAGACCUCGGCACUCCGAAUAGCGCGGCGGACGUCGCGGCCUCCGGGCCGUCUUCCGCACGAGCUUCUUAGAGGGACCGUCCCCCGCCGGGGAAGGAGGUGCGAGGCAACGACAGGUCUGUGAUGCCCUUAGAUGUUCUGGGCCGCACGCGCAUUACACUGACGCGUCCAACGGGUGACUCCCGACCCGAAGGGGCCGGGGAAUCCGCAAGGCGCGUCGUGAUGGGGAUUGAACGUUGCAAUUGUUGUUCACGAACGAGGAAUUCCUAGUAGGCGCGGGUCAUCAACCCGCGCCGAUUACGUCCCUGCCCUUUGUACACACC
rnacentral:rRNA from 1 species